AAGCUCUCCCAUCCCAGCACAUCUCAUUCGCUCACUGACACUUCUGAGACCUUGUCCUUGUAGCUGAGCAAGCUUUGCCUACGCCAGGAGGAUGUGCUCUCGCGGGUCCUGCCAUGGCUCCAGCUCUCACUGCCAUGAGCCGAGACCCUCCUGCAACAUUGUUGUGGUAGAGAAGCCGUACGUGCAGGCCUGCUGCCCCGUGCCAUGCUACUGUCCACCCAUGUCCUGCUGCUACCCACGCUACCAGUAUUCGCAGUGCUGCAAGUUCCCACAGUACCCGAAGUAGAAGACACAUCUCUAGGAAGACCUUCAUGUUUUGCUCUUCUCUACAAAGACCAUUCCAGUGCUCACAGCUCAUCCAGUCUCAUUUCAGAAAUUGUAAUUUCCUGUUUUCUUUCAUAUCUAAAUGUCUGUAACCUGCUUUGAAGAUUUGCCCACUGUACAAGUGUGAUGGACUCGUUACUAGGGACCAUUUCUGAUCUCAUUCAUUAUUCAUCUUGUGUCUGAAAAAUACUGAUUUCUGCUUGGUGAAAUUCUUCACUUGUUUUCCUACUUUUGCCUUCACUUGGAUAUAUGACACAAUAAAAGUUACUAUUCAAGUAAA